GACGAACGCUGGCGGCGUGCCUAAUACAUGCAAGUAGAACGCUGAAGAGAGGAGCUUGCUCUUCUUGGAUGAGUUGCGAACGGGUGAGUAACGCGUAGGUAACCUGCCUUGUAGCGGGGGAUAACUAUUGGAAACGAUAGCUAAUACCGCAUAACAAUGGAUGACACAUGUCAUUUAUUUGAAAGGGGCAUUUGCUCUACCACAAGAUGGACCUUCGUUGUAUUAGGUAGUAGGUGAGGUAACGGCUCACCUAGGCGACGAUACAUAGCCGACCUGAGAGGGUGAUCGGCCACACUGGGACUGGGACAAGGGCCAGGAUCCUACGGGAGGCAGCAGUAGGGAAUCUUCGGAAAUGGGGGCAACCCUGACCGAGGAAAGCCGCGUGAGUGAAGAAGGUUUUCGGAACGUAAAGCUCUGUUGUAAGUGAAGAACGAGUGUGAGAGUGGAAAGUUCACACUGUGACGGUAGCUAACCAGAAAGGGACGGCUAACUACGUG
rnacentral:rRNA from 1 species